GAUGAACGCUAGCGGCAGGCCUAAUACAUGCAAGUCGAACGGUAACAUGAGUAGCAAUACUUGAUGACGAGUGGCGCACGGGUGCGUAACGCGUAUGCAAUCUACCUUUAACCGGUGAAUAGCCCGAAGAAAUUCGGAUUAAUACACCAUAGUAUAAUGAGCUGGCAUCAGUUUAUUAUUAAAGCUCCGGCAGUUAAAGAUGAGCAUGCGUGACAUUAGCUAGUUGGUGAGGUAACGGCUCACCAAGGCGACGAUGUCUAGGGGAUCUGAGAGGAUUAACCCCCACACUGGUACUGAGACACGGACCAGACUCCUACGGGAGGCAGCAGUAAGGAAUAUUGGACAAUGGUGGCAACACUGAUCCAGCCAUGCCGCGUGCAGGAUGACUGCCCUAUGGGUUGUAAACUGCUUUUGUACGGGAAAAAACCUCUUUACGUGUAAAGAGCUGAUUGUACUGUAAGAAUAAGGAUCGGCUAACUCCGUGCCAGCCGCCGCGGUAA
rnacentral:rRNA from 1 species